UUUGGUUAAGUUAGAAAGGGCGCACGGUGGAUGCCUUGACACUAGGAGUCGAUGAAGGACGGGACUAACGCCGAUAUGCUUCGGGGAGCUGUAAGUAAGCUUUGAUCCGAAGAUUUCCGAAUGGGGAAACCCACCAUACGUAAUGGUAUGGUAUCCUUAUCUGAAUACAUAGGGUAAGGAAGACAGACCCAGGGAACUGAAACAUCUAAGUACCUGGAGGAAGAGAAAGCAAAUGCGAUUUCCUGAGUAGCGGCGAGCGAAACGGAACAUAGCCCAAACCAAGAGGCUUGCCUCUUGGGGUUGUAGGACAUUCUAUACGGAGUUACAAAGGAACGAGGUAGACGAAGCGACCUGGAAAGGUCCGUCGUAGAGGGUAACAACCCCGUAGUCGAAACUUCGUUCUCUCUUGAAUGUAUCCUGAGUACGGCGGAACACGUGAAAUUCCGUCGGAAUCUGGGAGGACCAUCUCCCAAGGCUAAAUACUCCCUAGUGAUCGAUAGUGAACCAGUACCGUGAGGGAAAGGUGAAAAGCACCCCGGAAGGGGAGUGAAAGAGAUCCUGAAACCGUGUGCCUACAAAUAGUCAGAGCCCGUUAAUGGGUGAUGGCGUGCCUUUUGUAGAAUGAACCGGCGAGUUACGAUCCCGUGCGAGGUUAAGCUGAAGAGGCGGAGCCGCAGCGAAAGCGAGUCUGAAUAGGGCGUUUAGUACGUGGUCGUAGACCCGAAACCAGGUGAUCUACCCAUGUCCAGGGUGAAGUUCAGGUAACACUGAAUGGAGGCCCGAACCCACGCACGUUGAAAAGUGCGGGGAUGAGGUGUGGGUAGCGGAGAAAUUCCAAUCGAACCUGGAGAUAGCUGGUUCUCCCCGAGAUAGCUUUAGGGCUAGCCUUAAGUGUAAGAGUCUUGGAGGUAGAGCACUGAUUGGACUAGGGGUCCUCAUCGGAUUACCGAAUUCAGUCAAACUCCGAAUGCCAAUGACUUAUCCUUAGGAGUCAGACUGCGAGUGAUAAGAUCCGUAGUCAAAAGGGAAACAGCCCAGACCGCCAGCUAAGGUCCCAAAGUGUGUAUUAAGUGGAAAAGGAUGUGGAGUUGCUUAGACAACUAGGAUGUUGGCUUAGAAGCAGCCACCAUUUAAAGAGUGCGUAAUAGCUCACUAGUCGAGUGACUCUGCGCCGAAAAUGUACCGGGGCUAAAUACACCACCGAAGCUGCGGAUUGAUACCAAUGGUAUCAGUGGUAGGGGAGCGUUCUAAGGACAGUGAAGUCAGACCGUAAGGACUGGUGGAGUGCUUAGAAGUGAGAAUGCCGGUAUGAGUAGCGAAAGACGGGUGAGAAUCCCGUCCACCGAAUGCCUAAGGUUUCCUGAGGAAGGCUCGUCCGCUCAGGGUUAGUCAGGACCUAAGCCGAGGCCGACAGGCGUAGGCGAUGGACAACAGGUUGAUAUUCCUGUACCACCUCUUUAUCGUUUGAGCAAUGGAGGGACGCAGAAGGAUAGAAGAAGCGUGCGAUUGGUUGUGCACGUCCAAGCAGUUAGGCUGAUAAGUAGGCAAAUCCGCUUAUCGUGAAGGCUGAGCUGUGAUGGGGAAGCUCCUUAUGGAGCGAAGUCUUUGAUUCCCCGCUGCCAAGAAAAGCUUCUAGCGAGAUAAAAGGUGCCUGUACCGCAAACCGACACAGGUAGGCGAGGAGAGAAUCCUAAGGGGUGCGAGAGAACUCUGGUUAAGGAACUCGGCAAAAUGACCCCGUAACUUCGGGAGAAGGGGUGCUUUCUUAACGGAAAGCCGCAGUGAAUAGGCCCAAGCGACUGUUUAGCAAAAACACAGCUCUCUGCGAAGCCGUAAGGCGAAGUAUAGGGGGUGACACCUGCCCGGUGCUGGAAGGUUAAGGAGAGGGGUUAGCGUAAGCGAAGCUCUGAACUGAAGCCCCAGUAAACGGCGGCCGUAACUAUAACGGUCCUAAGGUAGCGAAAUUCCUUGUCGGGUAAGUUCCGACCCGCACGAAAGGUGUAACGAUUUGGGCACUGUCUCAACCAGAGACUCGGUGAAAUUAUAGUACCUGUGAAGAUGCAGGUUACCCGCGACAGGACGGAAAGACCCCGUGGAGCUUUACUGUAGCCUGAUAUUGAAUUUUGGUACAGUUUGUACAGGAUAGGCGGGAGCCAUUGAAACCGGAGCGCUAGCUUCGGUGGAGGCGCUGGUGGGAUACCGCCCUGACUGUAUUGAAAUUCUAACCUACGGGUCUUAUCGACCCGGGAGACAGUGUCAGGUGGGCAGUUUGACUGGGGCGGUCGCCUCCUAAAGUGUAACGGAGGCGCCCAAAGGUUCCCUCAGAAUGGUUGGAAAUCACUCGUAGAGUGCAAAGGCAUAAGGGAGCUUGACUGCGAGACCUACAAGUCGAGCAGGGACGAAAGUCGGGCUUAGUGAUCCGGUGGUUCCGCAUGGAAGGGCCAUCGCUCAACGGAUAAAAGCUACCCCGGGGAUAACAGGCUUAUCUCCCCCAAGAGUCCACAUCGACGGGGAGGUUUGGCACCUCGAUGUCGGCUCAUCGCAUCCUGGGGCUGUAGUCGGUCCCAAGGGUUGGGCUGUUCGCCCAUUAAAGCGGUACGCGAGCUGGGUUCAGAACGUCGUGAGACAGUUCGGUCCCUAUCCGUCGUGGGCGUAGGAAAUUUGAGAGGAGCUGUCCUUAGUACGAGAGGACCGGGAUGGACGCACCGCUGGUGUACCAGUUGUUCUGCCAAGGGCAUAGCUGGGUAGCUAUGUGCGGAAGGGAUAAGUGCUGAAAGCAUCUAAGCAUGAAGCCCCCCUCAAGAUGAGAUUUCCCAUAGCGUAAGCUAGUAAGAUCCCUGAAAGAUGAUCAGGUUGAUAGGUUCGAGGUGGAAGCAUGGUGACAUGUGGAGCUGACGAAUACUAAUAGAUCGAGGACUUAACCAUAUAA
rnacentral:rRNA from 1 species